rnacentral:rRNA from 1 species
AGGGCACCACCAGGAGUGGAGCCUGCGGCUUAAUUUGACUCAACACGGGAAAACUCACCCGGCCCGGACACUGGAAGGAUUGACAGAUUGAGAGCUCUUUCUUGAUUCAGUGGGUGGUGGUGCAUGGCCGUUCUUAGUUGGUGGAGUGAUUUGUCUGGUUAAUUCCGAUAACGAACGAGACUCUAGCCUACUAAAUAGAUCGUCGGCUUACAAACGCCGGCGAGACUUCUUAGAGGGACAGGCGGUGAUUCAACCGCACGAAACAGAGCAAUAACAGGUCUGUGAUGCCCUUAGAUGUCCGGGGCCGCACGCGCGCUACACUGAAGUGAUCAGCGUGCUUUUUCAACCUACUCUGUCAAGAGUGGGGAACCCAAUGAACCUUCUUCGUGAUUGGGAUAGGGGAUUGUAAUUAUUCCCCUUGAACGAGGAAUUCCCAGUAAGCGCGAGUCAUAAGCUCGCGUUGAUUACAUCCCUGCCCUUUGUACACACCGCCCGUCGCUACUACCAAUUGAAUGAUUU